rnacentral:tRNA from 1 species
UCCCUGGUGGCCCAGCAGUUAAAGGAUCUGGCAUUGUCACUGCCAUGGCUUGGGUUCAAUCCCUGGCCUGGGAA